GACGAACGCUGGCGGCGUGCCUAAUACAUGCAAGUAGAACGCUGAAGGAGGAGCUUGCUUCUCCGGAUGAGUUGCGAACGGGUGAGUAACGCGUAGGUAACCUGCCUGGUAGCGGGGGAUAACUAUUGGAAACGAUAGCUAAUACCGCAUAACAGUAGAUGUUGCAUGACAUUUGCUUAAAAGGUGCAAUUGCAUCACUACCAGAUGGACCUGCGUUGUAUUAGCUAGUUGGUGAGGUAACGGCUCACCAAGGCGACGAUACAUAGCCGACCUGAGAGGGUGAUCGGCCACCCUGGGACUGGGACACGGCCCAGACUCCUACGGGAGGCAGCAGUAGGGAAUCUUCGGCAAUGGACGGAAGUCUGACCGAGCAACGCCGCGUGAGGGAAGAAGGUUGUCGGAUCGUAAAGCUCGGUUGUAAGAGAAGAACGAGUGUGAGAGUGGAAAGUUCACACUGUGACGGUAUCUUACCAGAAAGGGACGGCUAACUACGUG
rnacentral:rRNA from 1 species